UGCUGCAGCGCCGGGGACCAGUUGGGGGUUCAGUGCCUUGCUCAAGGGCACCUAAGUCGUGGCAUUGAGGUAUCUCAAAUCCAGGAGCCCUCAGAAUCCGAUCCAGUCCUGAUGCUUCCAGAGUCCUCUAUGGAAGAGGUUGUUUCUAAAUCCACUCCAGAUAGAGUGGUUAACCAAGCCCGCUGAGAAGAGAACUGUUCAGGAGCUCACUCCCGCUCCAGAGAGCGCAGUCCCAGAGCCUGCUAUAGAGGAGGUUGUUCCCAAGCCUGCUCCAUAGUGAGCCGUUGCAGAUCCCGCUCCCUCUCCGGUGUUGGCCUCAGCCCCUGAGUCCACUUUGGUGUCAGCUCCAGGGCCUCAUUGUUUGUGUUUAAGCACUUGGCUCUGUCUUUGUGUUGUUCACUUAUGUAGUCCUCAUUAAUCUGAGGGUCGUCUACUCUCUCUUAUGUCAUCUGCAACCUUUUAUAUUGUGCUCUCUGUCCCACAUGUCUUGCCAGUUCGUUAACCUUGAUCCUUUUAUGUAGAUUCGUAGUUACCUAGAACAGAGUUAAAUCUAGUGCUUUUCUUGUUAUUGCUAAUUGUCUGUCCUUUUAUUGGUUUUUCCUCUAGCUAUAGAAUUGUCCUGCCCUGUAGGCUGAGUUUUCUUGGCUGCUUACUGUAGCUCUACUGUUGCAGUGCCUGUGCACCCACAUGUGUGUGUGCAGGCUCAUAUGCUUGGUGUUCCUGGCUGGCCAACGCUGCUCUCCUCUGGUCUCCCUCUGCCCUGACAUUACUGUUCUCUGGCCAACUGUGAUCUCGGGCUGGACUCUGAGGCCAUUAUCGCAGGCUUUGUGCCUUACCCCAGUCUACCAGUGUUUGUGCCACAUACCUGCCUAAUUGUUUUGACCUUGUUCACUCCCCUUCUCACCUUCUCUUGUCUUGUCUUAAUCUGCUAACACUCACUCUGCAUUUGAGUCCUUUUUUCUUUCUGCCUGUUUAUGUGUGUGUUGUGGUCAGCAAUGUGGAUUAAAGUGGAGUUUCUAGGUUUGGCAGAUGAGAUGGCAAAACAGAAGCAAAGCACUGCAGUGUCAGGUGGUAAGGCUGAAGGUUGAGAGCUGAUGACCCACACUUCUCUGAGGGAGAGAAAGCACAGUUCAGAAGGGCAAAGUUUCUUUGUCUUCCACCUCUCUCAUUCCAUUCCCAAUCUCAAAACCUUUCUUACCACCUUCUACUUCUCUUCUACUACUUUCACAGAAAGUAACACCUGCUGAGCAUCUUGUGUCCCAUUGCACAAAUUUAUGUUGAUGUCAGCAAUGAAAACAGUACAACAUCUCCAAAUAUUUGUAGAACAGCGGUCUGUCCAUUUUAUCUCUCUUUCACACCUCUCUCUUUCUCACUUUCUCAUACUCUCACAUCUCUUCCUCCUACAUUAUGUUUUUUAUCGAUUUAGUUUUCCAAAGCCUCAGCCUGGGAUGAUGUGGCUUUCACACGUGAUGUGAAAUGUUGUUUCUGUCGAGAUUAACACAUGUUUGUAAAGUCUUUUCUCUGGACUGGAUCUGAGUUAGAGGACAGGAUAAAAUUGCAUGCCAAUUAAAUCUCUUGCAUAUGUUCUGCCGGGAAGACUCAAUUGUUAGCAUUUAUUAUUACCUUCUCAAUUGUCCAAUCACGUUCUAAUAAUAUAAGUAUAAAGGACCCGUGCUUACACUUGUCUGAGUUGCAGAUGCUGAACACUUCACUCACCACCAUACUCCCCACCACCACCAAGAUGGUUCCUCCCUUGACCAAUAAGAAAGGUUCUUCUCCAUCUUCUUUAUCACCGCAGGAUGUUUCUUACCCUCCAACCACCUCACUACCACCAGGACGGUCCCUCCUAAAAACUUCACAGGGGGUUGGCUGCACCCCUGCCUUUAUCUUCAGGAGGAAAUGCUGAAUCCGUACCCUCGGAUAUCGAGUUACAGAUGGGGCCUACGCCAAAUACUUAGUGGGAGUGGCAGUGGUCAAAGAUGUGGUUAACGACUUAUCUCGUCAUCACAAGCUCUUGGUCACACACUCCUCAAAGUGGCAUUGCCUGAAGGGCACUGAUAACACACAUCCUGCACUUCUAUUGGUUGAUGUCCAGAGAACCUGAAAUCUCACACAGAAGAAUCUGUACACUAGAGGAAAGUGGCCUGACUCAUGUUUCUCUUCAUCGAUGUCUUCAAUGGCGGCAUCUGGUCUGAAAUGUCCUCAAGGAAGAACUCCACCUCCCGGCCUUCCAUUUUUUCUGAGAUCAGGAGUAUUUGCUGGCCCCAUUUGAUCUUUUCAGUACGCUCGGGUUUAAUGUCUGGCCAGUGUUUUUCGAGCAGCAGGUAGUCACAGGCAAGCCGUUAUAGGGUCAUCACUCUUUUGUGUCACUGUAAUUCACACACAGAUGGAGACCUCUAAACUUUGACAGAGGUCAUUUUGAAAUUAUUACUUUAUAAAUGUCUGUUUUGGUUGGGUGUUUUGAAGAAAGGAAUGAUCUUUGUACAGAUUUUAAAGAAAAAUACAACCCUGUAAAUGUUUUCUUCUGUGAAGGAUGUGUUUUCCUAUGUGAGACCUUUUUCUUUAGUUUUAAAUAGCCCUUUUACAU